GACGAACGCUGGCGGCGUGCUUAACACAUGCAAGUCGAACGGAAAGGCCCUGCUUUUGUGGGGUGCGCGAGUGGCGAACGGGUGAGUAACACGUGAGUAACCUGCCCUUGACUUUGGGAUAACUUCAGGAAACUGGGGGUAAUACCGGAUAGGAGCUCCUGCUGCAUGGUGGGGGUUGGAAAGUUUCGGCGGUUGGGGAUGGACUCGCGGCUUAUCAGCUUGUUGGUGGGGUAGUGGCUUACCAAGGCUUUGACGGGUAGCCGGCCUGAGAGGGUGACCGGCCACAUUGGGACUGAGAUACGGCCCAGACUCCUACGGGAGGCAGCAGUGGGGAAUAUUGCACAAUGGGCGGAAGCCUGAUGCAGCAACGCCGCGUGCGGGAUGACGGCCUUCGGGUUGUAAACCGCUUUCGCCUGUGACGAAGCGUGAGUGACGGUAAUGGGUAAAGAAGCACCGGCUAACUACGUG
rnacentral:rRNA from 1 species